rnacentral:rRNA from 1 species
UGGGUAGCCCACCCCGAUGACCGGGACAACCCGAGGAAACUCGGGCUAAUACCGGAUGAGCUCCUCCCCCUUGAGGGAGAGGAGGAAAGAUAGCUUCGGCCUUCGCAUCGGGACGGGCCCGCGGCGCAUUAGCUUGUUGGUGGGGUAAAGGCCUACCAAGGCAACGAUGCGUAGCCGACCUGAGAGGGUGAUCGGCCACAUUGGGACUGGGACACGGCCCAGACUCCUACGGGAGGCAG